UACAGAGGUCUCAAGCGUUUGUUCGGAUUCAUUGGGCGUAAAGGGUGUGUAGGUGGCGCGCUAAGUCGGGUGUGAAAUUUCGGAGCUUAACUCCGAAAACUGCAUUCGAUACUGGCGUGCUUGAGGACUGGAGAGGAGACUGGAAUUCAUGGUGUAGCAGUGAAAUGCGUAGAGAUCAUGAGGAAGACCAGUGGCGAAAGGCGGGUCUCUGGACAGUUCCUGACACUGAGACACGAAGGCCAGGGGAGCAAAACGGG
rnacentral:rRNA from 1 species